GCGCCCGUAGCUCAACUGGAUAGAGUUACAGACUUCGAAUCUGGAGGUUGGAGGUUCGACUCCUCCCGGGCGCGCCA
rnacentral:tRNA from 1 species